rnacentral:sRNA from 1 species
GGAUGUGAGGGCCAGCUACCUGAGAAACCUGCUACCUCAUUUGUCACCAGUGUUGAUCUGGCUGAUCUGGCUAGCUUCAGGGUGGUCCCUUCCUCCCUCACUGCUCUCAGUGUGUGUGUGUGUGUGUGUGUGUCCUGAAGCUAAACCUGUGUACUCAGUCAAAGAGGCAUCUUCCCCAAAUAGAGGAUUGGUCUUCGGUCAAGGGUAUAUGAGAAAGAACUCUUCACAAACCAAUCAGCCCUGUAAUUACUUGCAGAAACUGCAUAGGGGCAGGACUCA